GGGGAAAAAAUUAAAGUGAGUGUGAAUAUAAUAGGUGUAAGAAAAGGGCGGGGGAGACCCAUCUAUCUAUCCAUCCACUCCAACUUCCAAUUCCCUCUAUAAAUUGAUGUUGAUGCCAUGGAGAUGGAGAAGAGAGGCGAGGGCGCAUUUAUGAAUACUGGUACUGAUAUGAUGAUAAUAGAUGAGAUGUGGAAAGUGUCACGAGCCUUAUAAAUUCCAUCAUUCUCUUCUCCGACCAAACCAUGCAUGGCUGGGCUGGUCUUGUCUGGUCUGGUCUCUUCUUCUCCUUCAAUUCAUUCAUAUACAUCUUUCUCUACCUGCAAAACUUUCUCAGAUGUGUGUUUGUCAGUCCACUGUAUUGUACUGUUUGUUGGUUUUGAGAGGCUGAAGCUGCCAGCAUGAUCUGGUAAGAUAGAACAAAAUCUUGUUUUUCUUUUCCCCCCACUUUUUCUUUUAUGGGGUUUUCAUCUUUCUGCAGAAAUAUAAUUCACCAAUCUUUGGGGGUUUUCUGUUCUUCAUUCUCCCCCCUUCUGUUUCUUUUUCUUUUUUUUUUUUUAUUUUAUUUUUUGAGAUUUUUUGGUUGGUGGGUAUUAUGGGUUCUGUAGUUUAAGAUUGGAGAGGGGGGAAUUGAAUCUAUCAUAGUGAAUUUCAUUAGGUUUUUUGAGAUUUGGUUCCAUCAGGUCAUCUAGCAGCUUCAAUCACUCACCAACAAUAUCCAAAAUAAAUUCUUAAAAUUAAAUAAAUUGUGGAAUUGAAGCUUGAUUUCAAUUCGCCUCAUUCAGUCUUCCCUUGUGGUGGUCAUCAUAUCAGAUCAGUGUUGGGCAGAUUCCUGGAAGGUCAAGUUGAACAUCUUGACAUCAAAACGUGGCGUUUGGCUGUUGGCUACUAAGCAAGUAUAAGAAAAUAAAAUUGUGUUUUCGCUAUUAGUAAUAAGCAUUUGAUUAUUAUAUUUUAAAUAUUUUAUCCUCCUUUAUUUAGAGAUUGAUAUUGUCAUUAAUUAUUAUAAUUGCAAUUAGGAUUUAAUGUUUAUUGACUCUUCGUGCUUCAAUAGGUUGAGAAAGUAGUUACAAACA